UAUUACCUGUGGCUAGCAGAUGUUGGG
rnacentral:piRNA from 1 species